rnacentral:rRNA from 1 species
CCCGAAAUAGCUUUAGGGCUAGCCUCAAGGUGAGAGAUACGGAGGUAGAGCACUGAAUGUCCUAGGGGGUAUUGCACCUACCGAAGACUAUCAAACUCCGAAUGCCGUCAUCUUAUACUUGGGAGUCAGACUGUGGGUGAUAAGAUUCAUAGUCGAAAGGGCAACAGCCCAGAUCGUCAGCUAAGGUCCCUAAAUGUAAGUUAAGUGGUAAAGGAUGUGGGAUUGCACAGACAACCAGGAUGUUGGCUUAGAAGCAGCCACUCAUUCAAAGAGUGCGUAAUAGCUCACUGGUCGAGUGAUCCUGCGCCGAAGAUUUCCGGGGCUAAAACUUACUACCGAAGCUACGGCAUCAGUAAUGAUGGGUAGGGGAGCUUCCCAUACGGGUUGAAGCAUGACCGUAAGGACAUGUGGACAGUAUGGGAGUGAGAAUGUUGGCAUGAGUAGCGAGAUGUGGGUGAGAAUCCCACAGGCCGUAAACCCAAGGUUUCCAGGGGAAGGUUCGUCCGCCCUGGGUUAGUCGGGACCUAAGCUGAGGCCGAAAGGCGUAGGUGAUGGACAACAGGUUGAUAUUCCUGUACUACCGAUAACCGUUUGAGAGAAGGGAUGACACAGUAGGAUAAGCUAAGCACACUGUUGGUUAUGUGUGCCCAAGCAUUGAGGCAGUCAAAGUAGGCAAAUCCGCUUUGAUAAUGCUGGGAUGUGAUGGGGAGCGAAAUUUAGUAGCGAAGUAGCUGAUUUCACACUGUCAAGAAAAGUCUCUAUCGAGGUUAAAGGUACCCGUACCGCAAACCGACACAGGUGGGUGAGGAGAGUAUCCUAAGGCCAGCGAGAGAACUGUUGUUAAGGAACUCGGCAAAAUGACCCCGUAACUUAGGGAUAAGGGGUGCCACCAUCAGGUGGCCGCAGAGAAUAGGCCCAAGCGACUGUUUACCAAAAACAUAGGUUUCUGCUAAGUCGCAAGACGAUGUAUAGGAGCUGACGCCUGCCCGGUGCUGGAAGGUUAAGGGGAUCUGUUAGAGCAAUCGAAGCAGUGAACUUAAGCCCCAGUAAACGGCGGCCGUAACUAUAACGGUCCUAAGGUAGCGAAAUUCCUUGUCGGGUAAGUUCCGACCCGCACGAAAGGCGUAACGAUUUGGGCACUGUCUCAACAACAGACUCGGUGAAAUUGUAAUUCCGGUGAAGAUGCCGGAUACCUGCGACAGGACGGAAAGACCCCAUGGAGCUUUACUGUAGCUUGACAUUGGGUCUUGGUACUACAUGUACAGGAUAGGUGGGAGGCUUUGAAACCAGGACGCCAGUUUUGGCGGAGCCAUCCUUGGGAUACCACCCUUGUAGUACUGGGACUCUAACCAUAGGCCAUGAAUCUGGUCUUGGGACACUGUCGGGUGGGCAGUUUGACUGGGGCGGUCGCCUCCCAAAAGGUAACGGAGGCGCUCAAAGGUUCUCUCAGUACGGUCGGAAAUCGUACGUAGAGUGUAAAGGCAAAAGAGAGCUUGAUUGCAAGACAUACAGGUCGAGCAAGGAUGAAAAUCGGACUUAGUGAUCCGGUGGUUCUGCGUGGAAGGGCCAUCGCUCAACGGAUAAAAGCUACCCUGGGGAUAACAGGCUUAUCUCCCCCAAGAGUCCACAUCGACGGGGAGGUUUGGCACCUCGAUGUCGGCUCAUCACAUCCUGGGGCUGUAGUAGGUCCCAAGGGUUGGGCUGUUCGCCCAUUAAAGUGGUACGCGAGCUGGGUUCAGAACGUCGUGAGACAGUUCGGUCCCUAUCCGUCGCAGGCGUAGGAAAUUUGAGAAGACCUGUCCUUAGUACGAGAGGACCGGGAUGGACGUACCUCUGGUGUACCAGUUGUUCUGCCAAGGGCAUGGCUGGGUAGCUAUGUACGGAAUGGAUAAGCGCUGAAAGCAUCUAAGCGCGAAGCCAACUUCAAGAUAAGAUUUCCCACCGCAAGGGUAAGACCCCAGAAAGACUAUCUGGUUGAUAGGUCGAAGGUGUAAGUGCAGCAAUGUAUUUAGCUUAUCGAUACUAAUAGGUCGAGGACUUGACCAA